ACAUAUGACCCUCGGACUGUGGAGAGAAGGACAAAAAAAAACAAACAAACAAACAUUAAAAAAAAACAAAAAACUCACAUACUACUUUCUCACCAGUUUCUUCUCCUCGCUUCCUCUAUUCAAGUUCUUUCUCUCUGCCUCCUCUCUUUAGCUAACCUCUCAAAAGCUCAGUAUUGCUUUUGAUUAAUCUGUUCAGGCUCCAAUAAUAUUUGUGCUAACGUUUCUCUUUGAUGACAUGAUUCUCUGAUCUGGGUCUUCUUUACUUGUUAUUCAGAUCCUAGUUUUCAAUUUCUUUUGGCUUCUGCUACUUCACUGUUGGAAAAGCCAGUAAUAGAAAACAGCCUAUUUGGUUCUUGGGUUUUUGUUAGUUUAUUGAUUGCUCUAAUCAGAUUGCGAGAAAUGGGUUUUGCCAAUAAGAUGCAGAAAGUGGAUAUUUGCUUUCAGAUUAAUGGUAGACAAAGAAAAUAAAUUGCUUUUGUCAAUCCUGGAUUUCUCUCUGUUUGGGACCUGAAAAAUCAAAAAAUUUUUCUAGUGUGGAAUUUUCUUCACGAGGUUUAUUUACUAUGGGUAGAGGUAGAGGUAAAGGGAAGAAACAAAGCAUUAUUGCUGUUCGUGAGGAUCCUGGAAGUGGUGAAGAGGAGAGGAUUCCACCAAACAGGAGAAGAGGAAGGCCACAUAAACCAUUAAAGGAAGAUAUUGGAGAAGGAGAAGAAGCUCAGAAGACAGAAGAUGUUGAGGAUGCAAAAAUUUAUGUUUCUAGCAAAGACAUGAAAAACCAAUCUGCCAUAGAGAAUGGAAGGAAAAGGAAGAGGUCUGCUCAGGUAAAAGAAAAUAUAAAAUCAGUCAAAGAGGAUAAAAACGUUGAAACAAAAUCAAAUCUUGAUGACUCGACAAAGUCUGUUGGAUUCCGACAAAAUGGGAGUAGGCGGAAAAACAAGCCUCACCGAGCUGCUGAAGCUGGUGUUCAGUGCAAAUGAGUUCAGUUUUGCUGUUGUGAUAGUUGCACACCUUCUUUGCCAUCAAUGGAUAAAUCAGAAGCAUGGAGAAGGGCUUUGUUGGUUCACCUAUCAUUCCUUAUAUUGCCUUCAUUAUAUGUUUUACAUUUCUAUAAAUUCUGAGUUCUUUCUUUUGCGAACAGAUGAUUUUGAUUGUGAGGUUUUGAAAUAUUCACUUGUGCCAUGCUAUUUGCUUCUGUUACUAGCCACAGACAUUUUCGUUAGCCUUACAAAAAUUUUCUCUGACAGCAUUCAUUUUGCUUGAACUUAGAUGAGGUUGCCUUCAUUUUUCGUUCUUCAUUUCUCUUUCCUGAAAAGGAAAAUAGAUUUGGGGAUAUUCGUUUCUCUUUCCUGGAAAGGAAAAUAGCUAGGGAGGGAGUAUACAUGCUUUCAAAUUAUCCAAAUUCCACCAGCAGAAUACACUGGUGCUUCGAUUCAGGCAGCUCACAAAAUGAAACUGAAGGCUUUUAUACCUGGAAACAGACCCAUACACCUGAAGUCUUGAAUAGAGAUAAUGGCCUUCACAAUGGAUUACAAGUGUUCACUGGAUUUUGUUGCGCAUUACUUGAACAUAUGUGUUUGGUGUUGGCUCUUCUAGCAGAUGAUAAUUGAGGAGACUCAAAUACUUAACAAGGGAAAACCAGGUGAGUUCAACGGUG